rnacentral:lncRNA from 1 species
UCACCUUCACCGAUGUUCCGAGAAUCUACAAUUGCUUGGCUGACUCGCUAGCCCUUAUGGAAUAAAUACUCAGCCGCUCUAGUACACAUGCUAGUACACCGAAGCACAGAGUCGCUUGUCAUCGAGAGAUUGGACAUCCCAGCCACAGAGAGCCCUUCCGUCGAACGGGACUCAUUCAUCUUCUUGGAUGAAGACUAUCGAGAGUUGGAACAUGAUGAACUAUCACCAGUCAAGACGAGGAAGAUUACGAGGACGAUGGGAACCAUGGUAUUAUGAUUUCUACAAUUACCUCAAGGACGGGUUCAUAUCAGAGUACGCCACUCGUGGUCAGAGGAGGUCAGGCUGCUUCACGGAUUGUCGAGCUGAGGAGAGACCUAGAUACUAUUAUCCGGGGGCGCGACACUUCUUUAAGUAUUCUCUUCUUGUAUGGAUGGCUUAUAGAUGCUUGUAGGCAUCCUUGUUUAUAGAGUACCCAUGGGCUUGUAGAUUGCUGAGUCAUCACAGAGAGGUUUCUUAAAUCCUUAUUUCAGGAUCAUAUCAGAGAGCUCGAAACCCAGUUGAGGAGUCGAGCCGAUACAAAGCAGGAGAUAGAUCUAUCUUCUAGAGUCACAGAAUCAAACCCUCUCAUCCGCAAAGCUGGGGUGGGAUAUAUGCAUAAAUCUCCGACGUCAUGGGUCACCUUCCCUCUUUCCUCCCCCCAGGCGCUCCCAAACUGAUCGUUAUUUUAUCGUUUUUGUAUCUUGCUUUCUUGCAGUCUGGAAUUGUUAUGGAACUGGUUUAAUCUGGUAUUGUUAGUAGGAAGUGGUGAUAAAUAGCAGGAGGCUUACUUACUUGAUUCCUUUCUGAAGGCGGUCCAAAGAGGAGCUACCAGAACAAUCAACACAAGAGAGGAGAUAAAAGGGAGAGAAUGGUUGUCAAAGACUCAAACGACUUCAGCAGACUUUUCGAUCACUGAUCACGAUCAGUCAUUUUUACUCUCACUGCUACAAAUUAUUUGAGAAUCUUCUCCAUCUUGUCUAAGUGCUGAGACACGCUCGUCCCCUCUUGCCCUACCGAUCUAUGCUACCUCGUAUGGUACUGUCUUUCUCGCUGCGUGCUUUUCUACAGGGAGCACCCCAACCAGCAGCUUAAGAAGGAAUUCCGGUGCCAAUUUCAUACCCUUUACCAUAAAAAGGUAGUGCCUCCCACCUUCCGGUCUACUGGUUAUAGAUCAAUGGCUUACACCCCGUCCACGGGCUUUGGCUCUUUAAGUGAUGACAAGGAUGCUGGGUCAACUGUUGACUCGAAUCCUGCCUCAUGAUGCCCGCAUAAAAGAAGGAAAGAGAAGUGAGCCAAACUGGGGGCUAGGAAGAAACUACCGAGAACGAAGAUUCGACUGAAAGCAGCCGGAAUGGAAUAACGAAUUGAAUAGAUGUGGAUGGAACUGCCUACGUUGCCUCAUCCUUUCUUUUUUUUUCCUUAUUGAGGUGUCUUAUAGAGCAGAUCGUAGGAUCGUAGGUGAGACUGAUUGUUCUCAGCUCGUUUGCUAAACAGUAAUCUCGUAAACCAGUAGACCAAUCUUCGCUAAUUGAAUUCAAUUUCAUUCUCUGAUUUCUUUGUUUUCAGAUUUCUAUUUUCACAUGAAUUCCACUGAACUGCAUUUCAUAUGAUCCAGAGAUCGAUCUUUCCACAGGUCACUCUGCCAAGGUGAACUAUUUCCUUUUGGUUGGUUUCUUAGAAUAGAAGGAUAAGUCCCUUAUCUCCUCUAAGCAGUCCGAUCUGGCUUUCCUGCCUCUCUCUUCUCUAGUCGUCUAGUAUCAUACUCUUAUUCAGAUUAUGAUUUUCAUUCAUUCAAUGAAACUUCAAUUUGCUUGUCUAAGGUGUGUUUCGAGGUACAGAUCACCAAAGACGGGAGUUAGUUUGUUCAAGUCAAUAAGAGGUAAGGUCUCGCUUAAGUGUUCUGUGGUAUCUCCCGAGCAAUAGAUGAAGAGGGUCUCUCGCCGGGGUCACUCUCAAUAUAAGUAGGAACUUCUUUGUGCACAGCUGAUUGUGUAAGAGAAUAGGUUCCUUCUAUUCUUCCUAGAGGCAAGAGAAGCGUGCUAUUCUUUGUCCUCCAAAUCUCGUAAGAGAAUAAAUAGAAUAUAGGGCUAUUUCCUCCAUUAAUGGGUGUCCUUUUCCCCCUCGUGAUUGGGGUUCCGCACUUGCUUGUCUGAGACUUUAAUAAUGUUCGCACUCUCUUUUGUUUAGUGUAAAAUCCUGAUCCCAGCUGACCCCAGAAUCAAAACCUUCUUGUUCUAAAGGCAUGGCUCUCUCGCAUCUUAUUCUACUACUUCUUUUGUAGAGGAAGUCCGNNNNNNNNNNNNNNNNNNNNNNNNNNNNNNNNNNNNNNNNNNNNNNNNNNNNNNNNNNNNNNNNNNNNNNNNNNNNNNNNNNNNNNNNNNNNNNNNNNNNUUUGCCCUACCGAUCGAUGCUACCUCAUAUGGUACUGUCUUUCUCACUGCGUGCUUUUCUACAAGGAGAACCCCAACCAGUAGCUUAAGAAGGAAUUCUGGUGCCAAUUUCAUGCCCUACCGUCCACGGGCUUUGGCUCUUUAAGUGAUGACAAGGAUGUUGGGUCAACUGUUGACUCAAAUCAUUCCUCAUGAUGCCCGCAUAAAAGAAGAAAAGAGAGGUAAGUCAAACUGGGGGCUAAGAAGAAACUACCAGGAAUGAAGAUUCGACUGAAAGCAGCCGGAAUGGAAUAAUGAAUUGAAUAGAUGUGGAUGGAACUGCCUACGUUGCCUCAUCCUUUCUUUUUUUUCCUUAUUGAGGUGUCUUAUAGAGAAGAUCGUAGGAUAGUAGGUGAGACUGAUUGUUCUCAGCUUGUUUGCUAAACAGUAAUCUCAUAAACUAGUAGACCAAUCUUCGUUAAUUGAAUUCAAUUUCAUUCUCUGAUUUCUUUGUUUUCAGAUUUCUAUUUUCAUAUGAAUUCCACUAAACUGCCUCUCUCUUCUCUAGUCGUCUAGUAUCAUACUCUUAUUUAGAUUAUGAUUUUCAUUCAUUCAAUGAAACUUCAAUUUGCUUGUAUAAGGUAUGUUUCGAGGUACAGAUCAACAGAGAUGGGAGUUAGUUUGUUCAAGUCAAUAAGAGGUAAGGUCUCGCUUAAGUGUUAUGUGGUAUCUCCCUAGCAAUAGAUUAAGAGGGUCUCUCGUUGGGGUCACUCUCAUUAUAAGUAGGAACUUAUUUGUGCACAGCUGAUUGUGUAAGAGAAUAGGUUCCUUCUGUUCUUCCUAGAGGCAAGAGAAGCAUGCUAUUCUUUGUCCUCCAAAUCUCGUAAGAGAAUAAAUAGAAUAUAGGGCUAUUUCCUCCAUUAAUGGGUGUCCUUUUCCCCCUCAUGAUUGGGGUUCCGCACUUGCUUGUUUGAGACUUUAAUAAUGUUCGCACUCUCUUUUGUUUAGUGUAAAAUCCUUAUCCCAGCUGACCCCAGAAUCAAAACCUUCUUGUUCUAAAGGCAUGGCUCUCUCGCAUCUUAUUCUACUACUUCUUUUGUAGAGGAAGUCCGUCGUGAAUCUCGGUCUAACUUUGUUACCUUAGCCUGGAAAACAUCCUAGUUUCCUAGGCCUCCUUAUAUCUUUUUCCUAGCUUCAGAAAAUGCCCGAAAAAGAAAAUCCCUCGUGGACCUAUAUCCAAGCCCAGAGAGUACUCUUCCUUCUGCCUUACACCUCCUAUGAACGAACCUAAUAGGGCCACGUACAAAAGGUUCUUUACUAAGCUUAAGAAUUGUGUUGUGCUUUCUAUCUCAACUCAUUCAUG